AUUGAACGCUGGCGGCAUGCCUUACACAUGCAAGUCGAACGGUAACAGGUCUUCGGAUGCUGACGAGUGGCGAACGGGUGAGUAAUACAUCGGAACGUGCCUAGUAGUGGGGGAUAACUACUCGAAAGAGUGGCUAAUACCGCAUGAGAUCUACGGAUGAAAGCAGGGGAUCGCAAGACCUUGUGCUACUAGAGCGGCCGAUGGCAGAUUAGGUAGUUGGUGGGAUAAAAGCUUACCAAGCCGACGAUCUGUAGCUGGUCUGAGAGGACGAUCAGACACACUGGGACUGAGACACGGCCCAGACUCCUACGGGAGGCAGCAAUGGGGAAUUUUGGACAAUGGGCGAAAGCCUGAUCCAGCAAUGCCGCGUGCAGGAUGAAGGCCUUCGGGUUGUAAACUGCUUUUGUACGGAACGAAAAGCCCCGGGUUAAUACCCUGGGGUCAUGACGGUACCGUAAGAAUAAGCACCGGCUAACUACGUGCCAGCCGCGGCGGUAA
rnacentral:rRNA from 1 species